rnacentral:rRNA from 1 species
GUGGGGAAUCUUAGACAAUGGGGGAAACCCUGAUCUAGCCAUGCCGCGUGAGCGAUGAAGGCCUUAGGGUUGUAAAGCUCUUUCAGCUGGGAAGAUAAUGACUGUACCAGCAGAAGAAGCCCCGGCUAACUCCGUGCCAGCAGCCGCGGUAAUACGGAGGGGGCUAGCGUUGUUCGGAAUUACUGGGCGUAAAGCGCACGUAGGCGGACCGGAAAGUCAGAGGUGAAAUCCCAGGGCUCAACCUUGGAACUGCCUUUGAAACUCCUGGUCUUGAGGUCGAGAGAGGUGAGUGGAAUUCCGAGUGUAGAGGUGAAAUUCGUAGAUAUUCGGAAGAACACCAGUGGCGAAGGCGACUCACUGGCCCGUUACUGACGCUGAGGCGCGAAAGCGUGGGGAGCAAACAGGAUUAGAUACCCCUGUAGUCC